rnacentral:lncRNA from 1 species
UGUAACAUGUUUAAAAUACAAUUCAAUGCAAAAGCAAAGGCGAGUAUACAAGUUUAAGCAUAAGUAUAACAUAAGUAUAAGUUUAAAAGUUUAAAACGAAUCCACAUGGCAACUUAGUCUAUACGAGAUCAACCUAGCGUGGCAUGCAAUAUUUCUAGCCAACCUCUGUUUACGCAAGAAAGUUUAAUUAAUUCAACAUGACCCAAGUUUAAGGGGGGCGGUGCGUUACUCCUAUAGCGCUAUACAUGUCGAAGGGAGGCUUGU